rnacentral:misc_RNA from 1 species
UUUGGUCUGGCAAUUUCAACCCAUUUGGCCUUGUCUUUCUAUCCCUCUCCGUUCUCGUUUCAGAUGCCCCUUCCUCCCCCUUCCCCCACCUUCUAUGCUCAACUACGGCUAUACGAAAGUGUACUUGGAUUGUGGAGACGUGGGGACGUCGAGGAAGCUUAUGAAUUACGAGUUGGGCGGAUGUGCCAGUACCAGGAUGGACGAGGAUGGACGGAGAUGGAUGAGGAUGGUAUCAUCGUCAAUCUGUGGUCACGUGAUCGGCCGUUUGGCUUUUGGGCCGGGGAUUGUUUCUAACCGAGUAAUUAGCCGAGUAUUAAGCGAGGUGAAAUUGAGGUGGAAAAUGGUGGAAGGGUGGACGGGUGGAAAGGGUGGAAAAAAGGCGGAAAAAGGUGGAAAAAGGUGGGAAAAGGGCGGAAAGUUGACAAGCGACGAUCAGAACAGAUCGGAUCAGACUUGUGGCUUAUUGUGGCUUGAGAUAAACUCGCGCGGAGGGCGUUUGCGGAGUCUAGCCUGAUUGGUAGGGGGGUUGUCGGUCAACUGAAUCAGUUCGGAUCGCGUCGCACCAGAUGGAGAAGACAUACUGCGAGUGGCACAGCCAUUCGGACUAACACGAAACGUUUGAUGGGCCCAGGCGGCGACUUGUACGAGCCACUUGUGUGACAGCUACGUCUAUACCAAAGGUUGCCGGAUUGCAGAAGGUACUCCAACCGAGAUGAGACAUGUUAUAUCUACACGACUCUCGCUUCUGACAACUGCCAUGGUGCAAUAGAGAUGUCAAUCUCACCCAGAAGUCGACCUUCAGUCAUCGCCGACUGAUAACAUGACAACCAAACUCCCAGACGGUGUCUUCUCGGGGUUGAUUUUGGUCAUGAUCUUGGACUCGCUGACCUACAAGACCUUGGAGUCAAAAUGAAGCUGUUCAGCUGCUGUAAUGGACCUAGCAAGACGGAUCAACUAAAUCCAAGCCGGUUUCAGUCAUUGCAAUUGUCUGAUACACAUCCCAAUGGCAGGAACGCACAGGGCCUCAAUUGACAUUGACGUAAAGAAGAUUCCUAGAUCUACCAGUACAAGUACAAGUACACUGUACAUACUCUUACUGUACCGUAUGUACCUGGCACGGUCGACUUUUUCUCACAUAAGUGCAGUACGGCGCUCUAUCAACUGUCUCAUUGGUACAAGUAAGCCCAUGUGCACCGAAAAACCGAACAAACCAAACAAUACAGUACAGUAUGUACUCCAUAUCGCACUUUAUCAUCUCUACCAAAUGACAUCUGCGAGAAUCGAACUC